CUACGGGGCGCAGCAGUGAGGAAUAUUGCACAAUGGGGGGAACCCUGAUGCAGCAACGCCGCGUGGAGGAUGACGCAUUUCGGUGUGUAAACUCCUUUUAUAUGUCAAGAAAAUGACGGUAGCAUAUGAAUAAGCACCGGCUAACUCCGUGCCAGCAGCCGCGGUAAUACGGAGGGUGCAAGCGUUACUCGGAAUCACUGGGCGUAAAGGACGCGUAGGCGGGCUUGUAAGUCAGGUGUGAAAUCCUACAGCUUAACUGUAGAACUGCACUUGAAACUACGAGCCUAGAGUAUGGGAGGGGCAGAUGGAAUUAGUGGUGUAGGGGUAAAAUCCGUAGAUAUCACUAGGAAUACCUAAAGCGAAGGCGAUCUGCUGGAACAUAACUGAUGCUAAGGCGUGAAAGCGUGGGGAGCAAACAGGAUUAGAUACCCUCGUAGUC
rnacentral:rRNA from 1 species